rnacentral:rRNA from 1 species
AACGAACGCUGGCGGCAUGCCUAACACAUGCAAGUCGAACGAGACCUUCGGGUCUAGUGGCGCACGGGUGCGUAACGCGUGGGAACCUGCCCUUAGGGUCGGAAUAACUCCCCGAAAGGGGUGCUAAUACCGGAUAAUGUCUUCGGACCAAAGAUUUAUCGCCUUUGGAUGGGCCCGCGUUGGAUUAGCUAGUUGGUAGGGUAAAAGCCUACCAAGGCGACGAUCCAUAGCUGGUCUGAGAGGAUGAUCAGCCACACUGGGACUGAGACACGGCCCAGACUCCUACGGGAAGCAGCAGUGGGGAAUAUUGGAAAGUGGGCGAAAGCCUGAUCCAGCACUGCCGCGUGAGUGAUGAAGGCCUUAGGGUUGUAAAGCUCUUUUACCCGGGAUGAUAAUGACAGUACCGGGAGAAUAAGCUCCGGCUAACUCCGUG